CAAAACUGACAUUUCUUGGACCUAUUUUAAGAAUUCAAUGAUCUCAUGCACAGGAAGUCGGUGUUUACCUCAAAAUGGCCGAUUCAAGGAAUUUCAUUUGCUAACACAGGAAGCAGACCCAGGAGGAACUGUCUGUUGAAGAACACCCCCCCCCCCCCCACCAAGCUGCCCACCAGAGGCCAAGCUGUACUUGGUGUUUGCCAACAUGCUGUUAUUUCCAGCCUGGUUGCUGUAGCCACAGAGGAAUUUUCAAGGACAAGAACCAGUGCUGGUAAAACUGUGGUCUCGUGUGGUUUUCCAUACCGGCUCUCGGCAAGGAUUUUCAAGAAAGGAAUACCAUCUCCAAAUCAUGAUGUGCCAAUAAGCUCCAGUUAGCUGCGGCCUUUUCCCCAGGCGGUAGUCCUGCAAUCUGAAUCCAGGAGAUGCAGCUUUGAAUCCAAUAUUUCAGAAGAAUGAAGAUAGAAAUGUAGCCCGCCUAUGCUUACAGUUCCUGAUUUCCUUGAUGGAGAAGGUUCGGCAACAAUAUGGCGGUGUGCAAUGCUAUUCCAGCUCCGGCAAUAGAAAUACACAUUUGAAUUCUACUGCUAGCUGAUGUUCAACAAACUGAUUCUUGGAACGGAAAGGAAAUGUGCCAUACCAGAAAAAGCAAUAACGAGUUCGGUCAUAAAGAUGUAUCAAAAUUAUAGCAAUUGUUGGCAUUCAGUCAUACGAACCUUUGUUGAAUAUUCAUUUAUGGAACUAAAAAAAGCGAAUAACACUAUUGCCUAAUAUAUCGAAACGGUUCAAUUUAUAAUGAUGUUAUAAACGUUUUAAAAAUAAGCCUACUUUCGAAAAUAAAGCAUUAUUCAAAUAUUUAUGAAGACUAAUCCACUUUAGGCAUGAUGAUCCCAUUGUAAACUAAAAUAACUACUUUACACAUUUACUUCCAAAGGGCAUUAAAUUUGCAGAUUAUCAAUAAGAACUGG